UACGGGGGGGGGCAAGCGUUGUUCGGAAUUACUGGGCGUAAAGGGCUCGUAGGCGGCCAACUAAGUCGGAUGUGAAAUCCCCAGGCUCAACCUGGGAACUGCAUCCGAUACUGGAUGGCUUGAAUUCGGGAGAGGGAUGCAGAAUUCCAGGUGUAGCGGUGAAAUGCGUAGAUAUCUGGAGGAAUACCGGUGGCGAAGGCGGCAUCUGGACCGACAUUGACGCUGAGGGAGCGAAAAGCCAGGGGGAGCAAACGGG
rnacentral:rRNA from 1 species